CUACGUGCCAGCAGCCGCGGUAAUACGGAAGGUCCAGGCGUUAUCCGGAUUUAUUGGGUUUAAAGGGAGCGUAGGCUGGAGAUUAAGUGUGUUGUGAAAUGUAGACGCUCAACGUCUGAAUUGCAGCGCAUACUGGUUUCCUUGAGUACGCACAACGUUGGCGGAAUUCGUCGUGUAGCGGUGAAAUGCUUAGAUAUGACGAAGAACUCCGAUUGCGAAGGCAGCUGACGGGAGCGCAACUGACGCUUAAGCUCGAAGGUGCGGGUAUCAAACAGGAUUAGAUACCCUGGUAGUCCGCACAGUAAACGAUGGAUGCCCGCUGUUGGUACCUGGUAUCAGCGGCUAAGCGAAAGCAUUAAGCAUCCCACCUGGGGAGUACGCCGGCAACGGUGAAACUCAAAGGAAUUGACGGGGACCCGCACAAGCGGUGGAUGAUGUGGAUUAAUUCGAUGCAACGCGAAGAACCUUACCUGGUCUUGACAU
rnacentral:rRNA from 1 species